CGAUAAUAAGGAACAGAUGGUGUUUUUGAGGGAUUUUUGGCUGGUGUUUUGGAGGUAGAAGUCUUGGAUGGAGUUUUGGAAGGAGGAAUGAUUGGAGGGUUUUUUUGUGGUAAAGGGAUUAGGAGGCAGUUUUUGGCUAUAUGACCCAUCUCCUUGCAAUGGGAACAGGUUGGAGGAAGCCAAGGGUAGGAGACAGUGACUUCAACAACCUCCCCUGAUUGCCG
rnacentral:lncRNA from 1 species